CUACGGAGGAUCCAAGCGUUAUCCGGAAUCAUUGGGUUUAAAGGGUUCGUAGGCGGGUUUAUAAGUCAGUGGUGAAAGUUUGCGGCUCAACCGUAAAAUUGCCAUUGAUACUGUAGAUCUUGAAUUAGUGUGAAGUGAUUAGAAUAAGUAGUGUAGCGGUGAAAUGCAUAGAUAUUACUUAGAAUACCAAUUGCGAAGGCAGGUCACUAACACUAUAUUGACGCUGAGGGACGAAAGCGUGGGGAGCGAACAGGAUUAGAAACCCUAGUAGUCC
rnacentral:rRNA from 1 species